CGGGAGGCCUAACACAUGCAAGCCGAGCGGUAGAUUGCUUUCGGGCAAUUGAGAGCGGCGUACGGGUGCGGAACACGUGUGCAACCUGCCUUUAUCAGGGGGAUAGCCUUUCGAAAGGGAGAUUAAUACCCCAUAAUAUAUUGAUUCGCAUGGAUUGAUAUUGAAAACUCCGGUGGAUAGAGAUGGGCACGCGCAAGAUUAGAUAGUUGGUGAGGUAACGGCUCACCAAGUCAGUGAUCUUUAGGGGGCCUGAGAGGGUGAUCCCCCACACUGGUACUGAGACACGGACCAGACUCCUACGGGAGGCAGCAGUGAGGAAUAUUGGACAAUGGGUGAGAGCCUGAUCCAGCCAUCCCGCGUGAAGGACGACUGCCCUAUGGGUUGUAAACUUCUUUUGUACAGGGAUAAACCUAGAUACGUGUAUCUAGCUGAAGGUACUGUACGA
rnacentral:rRNA from 1 species